UCUCUGUACGUCCAGCUUUUGGCCUCUUUGGCGCUUAAUUUCUCCGUCUUGGAGCGAAACUUGAGCGUGUUAACAUCGAAGGCUCCUCACCUGGUGGUGUUCUUCCAAAGUUGGCAGCGAGCUUCGUACCGUUUGAUUGGAUCCUCUUGCAAUAAAGUAAAGGCGGGUUCCUCUGAUUGGACCGAUGCCUCCACCUGGACUCCAGGAGGACCGCAGUGGAUGUUGCAGAGGUUCUGCAGAAAACACAGCGACGUUCACGUCAUCAGGGCGGUACCAAACCUUUACGAUGGUACGUAGCAGCAGGUUCUGCUUUUCUGAGUCCAGAAGUGAGACAAGGGAACCGGAAACGGUACCAGCGACUGGUGGAGGUAGAGAUGAUUCACCUGGUUAAAAGGGUAUCGUCAGCAAAAGCUCUGCAUGGAAAAUAAUAAUAAGUCACACAGACUAAACAAUAAGGUGCUUCUCUGAUGUCAGACCUGCAGAAUCAGGACAUUUUUAUCUGAUGAAUCAUAGGUUAAAGUAAUUAAGCCUGAAGGCUUCUCAGGAUUUCUCCCAAAGAGAAAAACAAACCGCACUAGAUUGUGACUCAUUCAACGGUUUUAGGAAUCACACAGAUGAACUUCAAACAGAUUCCCAGCUGCAGGGAAUGCUUGCAGUGAUGCUGAACUGUGUGCUGCUAGUAGAGCUGCAGCUGCUCUGGGAUCAGUUUUCCUUUAUAACAAUAAUAUGGAGAAGACGAUGAACUCCAUGUUUUCUUACCACUCUAGUUGAUCUCCACGCUGCUUCCCUUGGCCUCCAUCAUCAUCUGCACUGCGUCAGGCAGGGAGAGGCACACAGCAAAGACCUUCUGCUCUCUGCACACCAGAGUCAGCAGGAGCAGCAGAGGGGGGCAGCAGAGGGGCAGCAG